rnacentral:sRNA from 1 species
UGCAUCUGAAGUUUAUGAGGAUGAGAACCUCCGGGGGUAGAGGUUCGACUCGAGCGGAGCGAGAGAACGUUGCGUCAGCAACGGCCCGAAGGGCGAGCCA